CUUUUUAAAAUACUUAGACAAGGAUCAGUUGUUGUGGAUUCUGUCCUGAUAUUCAAUGACACAAACAAUGUUCCGGACACUGCAAACGUGACCUCCACGCUGGAAGAAGCAAUUGCUACCAACAGUUCAGAUGUUGCUGAACUUGCCAUCAAUGGCAGCAGUAUAGUUGCUGAACGUGUGGUGUCUGUAACCACACAGUCACCAGCAUCCCCAGCUCAGACCUCCAUGGCAUCAACGCUGACAGUGACAGAACCAACAUCAACACAGCCUUCUCCAGUCACAGCAGCACCUGUGCCUGAUCAACAGAUUAAAUUGGAAUUCAGGCUCCAACAGACCUUCACACCAAACCUGGCGAACCCCGCCUCGACAGAAUUUAAGAGCUUAGCUACAAAAGUUUCAAAAGUGUUGAACAGAAUCUACUCUGAUAAGUUUGGCCCCCGAUUCGUA
ensembl:lncRNA